rnacentral:rRNA from 1 species
CCUACGGGAGGCAGCAGUGGGGAAUAUUGGGCAAUGGGCGCAAGCCUGACCCAGCAACGCCGCGUGAAGGAAGAAGGCUUUCGGGUUGUACACUUCUUUUGUCAGGGAAGAGUAGAAGACGGUACCUGACGAAUAAGCCACGGCUAACUACGUGCCAGCAGCCGCGGUAAUACGUAGGUGGCAAGCGUUGUCCGGAUUUACUGGGUGUAAAGGGCGUGUAGCCGGGUUGACUAGUCAGAUGUGAAAUCCUGCGGCGUAACCGCAGAACUGCAUUUGAAACUGUUGAUCUUGAGUACUGGAGAGGCAGACGGAAUUCCUAGUGUAGCGGUGAAAUGCGUAGAUAUUAGGAGGAACACCAGUGGCGAAGGCGGUCUGCUGGACAGCAACUGACGGUGAGGCGCGAAAGCGUGGGGAGCAAACAGGAUUAGAUACCCCUGUAGUC